UACGUAGGGUGCAAGCGUUAAUCGGAAUUACUGGGCGUAAAGCGUGCGCAGGCGGUUUUGUAAGUCUGACGUGAAAUCCCCGGGCUCAACCUGGGAAUUGCGUUGGAGACUGCAAGGCUAGAAUCUGGCAGAGGGGGGUAGAAUUCCACGUGUAGCAGUGAAAUGCGUAGAGAUGUGGAGGAACACCGAUGGCGAAGGCAGCUACCUGGGUCAAGAUUGACGCUCAUGCACGAAAGCGUGGGGAGCAAACAGG
rnacentral:rRNA from 1 species